UACGAAGGGGGCUAGCGUUGUUCGGAAUUACUGGGCGUAAAGCGCACGUAGGCGGAUAUUUAAGUCAGGGGUGAAAUCCCGGGGCUCAACCCCGGAACUGCCUUUGAUACUGGGUAUCUAGAGUCCAGAAGAGGUGAGUGGAAUUCCGAGUGUAGAGGUGAAAUUCGUAGAUAUUCGGAAGAACACCAGUGGCGAAGGCGACUUACUAGACACAUAUUGACGCUGAGGUGCGAAAGCGUGGGGAGCAAACAGG
rnacentral:rRNA from 1 species